GACGAACGCUGGCGGCGUGCUUAACACAUGCAAGUCGAACGCUGAAGCUUGGUGCUUGCUCUGGGUGGGUGAGUGGCGAACGGGUGAGUAAUACGUGAGUAACCUGCCCUUGACUCUGGGAUAAGCCUGGGAAACUGGGUCUAAUACUGGAUACGACAUGUCACCGCAUGGUGGUGUGUGGAAAGGGUUUUACUGGUUUUGGAUGGGCUCACGGCCUAUCAGCUUGUUGGUGGGGUAAUGGCUCACCAAGGCGACGACGGGUAGCCGGCCUGAGAGGGUGACCGGCCACACUGGGACUGAGACACGGCCCAGACUCCUACGGGAGGCAGCAGUGGGGAAUAUUGCACAAUGGGCGAAAGCCUGAUGCAGCGACGCCGCGUGAGGGAUGACGGCCUUCGGGUUGUAAACCUCUUUCAGCACGGAAGAAGCGAAAGUGACGGUACGUGCAGAAGAAGCGCCGGCUAACUACGUG
rnacentral:rRNA from 1 species